ensembl:lncRNA
AGACAAUUUACAUGAAGUUUCAGGAACGCUAACAGUGAGUAUUCAUGAAGCCCAGCAUCUAGCCUGUAGUCAGCAUUUUAGUGAAUCUUCUAGUCUCAAGGCUGGACAUACUAUAGCUCCACAAACACUCGUUGGCCUGUGGUCAGUUCUGCACAUGUGUUAAACUGGGAGGCCAUAUCAAGUCACUAGACCUGUCCCCUCCAAGGCUACACCUUGCCUGAUGGCCACACUUAGGACUGAUGGGAGUGAAGCCCUUAAGGGCAAGGACUGCCUCUUCUCCCUCACACUUACCAGCAGCUGGUCUAACUCGGUACUUACAAUGGGAGACACACCCCCCAGAAGUGACCCUGGCUGUCUAAAAUCCUGUCCAGAAGAAAAUUAUUGAGAGAAAGCUGAAAAAGGAAAAGCUGCCCUCCAACAUACCCAGAAUCUUGCUGGAGAUGGAAACGAACAGGGAUGGAAACAUGACAGCAGAAAAAUACAGACCGUUUUGAAGUCUGCCCACCUGGGAGUCAAGCCACAUUGAAAAUCAAUAAGGCAUCAAGGCCGGGAGCACGGAAAGCGGACUGGAUACCUGCUUAGGCCUCCUUUAAAGCAAGGAAACCUUUGAAGUUUCAGACGACCAAUAAAAAUACAGCUGGCAUUUACAGCUUCGACUCCUCCUGCCUCUGCUUUUCACCAAGUACCUCAAGCUGCAGCCACAGUCACUCCAGGCUGGAAUGUUGGCCCAGGACCACAGGGCCCAUGCCGUUGACAAGGCCAGUGGCUCCUGGCAUGCACUGGCUAAGGACUGGUGAUUAACUCUAGGCAUGCUGGCACUUUCCCAGGACAACCCUGGCUGGGGUUCUGCACACCAGAUGCGGUGGCUGAGGUCCCCUUGGAUUACUGUAGUAAGGCCUGUAACACGAGAAGGAUGAACCUGAGGGAAUGACUCCCUUCCACCUUACCUCAGAAGAUGGAGGCAUCCAAACAGCAGAAGUUGACCUCUGAAGCACCCUCCUGCUCCUAGGGGAAUGUCAUCAGGAAGAAACUGCAGGCUGAAAAGCAACAGCAGGGUUGAGGGGACUAGCAGCUCUCAGAAGAACCUGCGGUCCUGCCCUACCUGGAUGUGGUCUUACAAGGAUACCAAAUGACAGAUGUUGGAGCUCAAAGCAGCCUCCAAGGAGCACCUACCUGCUGGCAGGAAAGUUCCUUAUCCCUGUGUUACCUCUGCCGUAAAAACCCAGAGGAAGGGCUGAUG